rnacentral:lncRNA from 1 species
UUAGAGAAGACAUCAUUUGACAAAAAUAUGUGUAUAUAAAGCUAUGUCUUAUGUAUUUCUCUUUAUCAGUUCUUUCUCUGGAGGUGGACAUAGGCACGUCAUCCUUCAAACUAUUUCUGCUGUGUAUAAUAUUCUUUUGGUUCUGCUCAUUCCACUCUCAAAUUUCAGACACUACUGGAUCCUUUUGCAACCAUUAACUGUAUUGGCUUUAAUAUUGGGUCAACUGAUUCCUCUUAGGCCUCAAAGGAGCUGCAACCCAAGCCAACUUUAUUUUAAGAAGCUGGUUGCUUCAUCAAAAAAGAAAAAAAAAGACAUGUGCAAAUGUCCCCAAAGGAACUGGAAUUGGUGAUUUUGUGUGAAGGGAUUAAAGAAGCUGGCUGCAGUUGUGCCAUUUUAAUAGGAUGCUGCCACGUAUGAGAUGUAGACACUCUUAAUGUUUUAUUAGAUUGGAAUAAUUUCUGGCAUUUAAACAUUUUGAUGAAAUUUGUUAAAUUUUUGAGGUGUUUUUAUAUGAAAAAAAUAAAAUGUUUUUUGGCAAUUCUAGUAAAGAGGCA